rnacentral:rRNA from 1 species
AUUGAACGCUGGCGGCAGGCCUAACACAUGCAAGUCGAGCGGUAGCACAGAGAGCUUGCUCUCGGGUGACGAGCGGCGGACGGGUGAGUAAUGUCUGGGAAACUGCCUGAUGGAGGGGGAUAACUACUGGAAACGGUAGCUAAUACCGCAUAACGUCGCAAGACCAAAGUGGGGGACCUUCGGGCCUCAUGCCAUCAGAUGUGCCCAGAUGGGAUUAGCUAGUAGGUGGGGUAACGGCUCACCUAGGCGACGAUCCCUAGCUGGUCUGAGAGGAUGACCAGCCACACUGGAACUGAGACACGGUCCAGACUCCUACGGGAGGCAGCAGUGGGGAAUAUUGCACAAUGGGCGCAAGCCUGAUGCAGCCAUGCCGCGUGUGUGAAGAAGGCCUUCGGGUUGUAAAGCACUUUCAGCGGGGAGGAAGGCGGUGAGGUUAAUAACCUCAUCGAUUGACGUUACCCGCAGAAGAAGCGCCGGCUAACUCCGUGCCAGCAGCCGCGGUAAUACGGAGGGUGCAAGCGUUAAUCGGAAUUACUGGGCGUAAAGCGCACGCAGGCGGUCUGUCAAGUCGGAUGUGAAAUCCCCGGGCUCAACCUGGGAACUGCAUUCGAAACUGGCAGGCUAGAGUCUUGUAGAGGGGGGUAGAAUUCCAGGUGUAGCGGUGAAAUGCGUAGAGAUCUGGAGGAAUACCGGUGGCGAAGGCGGCCCCCUGGACAAAGACUGACGCUCAGGUGCGAAAGCGUGGGGAGCAAACAGGAUUAGAUACCCUGGUAGUCCACGCCGUAAACGAUGUCGAUUUGGAGGUUGUGCCCUUGAGGCGUGGCUUCCGGAGCUAACGCGUUAAAUCGACCGCCUGGGGAGUACGGCCGCAAGGUUAAAACUCAAAUGAAUUGACGGGGGCCCGCACAAGCGGUGGAGCAUGUGGUUUAAUUCGAUGCAACGCGAAGAACCUUACCUGGUCUUGACAUCCACAGAACUUUCCAGAGAUGGAUUGGUGCCUUCGGGAACUGUGAGACAGGUGCUGCAUGGCUGUCGUCAGCUCGUGUUGUGAAAUGUUGGGUUAAGUCCCGCAACGAGCGCAACCCUUAUCCUUUGUUGCCAGCGGUCCGGCCGGGAACUCAAAGGAGACUGCCAGUGAUAAACUGGAGGAAGGUGGGGAUGACGUCAAGUCAUCAUGGCCCUUACGACCAGGGCUACACACGUGCUACAAUGGCAUAUACAAAGAGAAGCGACCUCGCGAGAGCAAGCGGACCUCAUAAAGUAUGUCGUAGUCCGGAUUGGAGUCUGCAACUCGACUCCAUGAAGUCGGAAUCGCUAGUAAUCGUAGAUCAGAAUGCUACGGUGAAUACGUUCCCGGGCCU